UACAGAGGUCUCAAGCGUUGUUCGGAUUCAUUGGGCGUAAAGGGUGUGUAGGUGGCGCGCUAAGUCGGGUGUGAAAUUUUGGAGCUUAACUCCGAAACUGCAUUCGAUACUGGCGUGCUUGAGGACUGGAGAGGAGACUGGAAUUCAUGGUGUAGCAGUGAAAUGCGUAGAGAUCAUGAGGAACACCAGUGGCGAAGGCGGCUCACUGGCCCGAUACUGACGCUGAGGCACGAAAGCGUGGGGAGCAAACAGG
rnacentral:rRNA from 1 species